CGGCACGGGUGCGUAACGCGUAUGCAACCUACCAUCAACAGGGGGAUAACACUGAGAAAUUGGUACUAAUACCCCAUAAUAUCUCAUGCGGCAUCGCAUGGGGUUGAAAACUCCGGUGGUUGAUGAUGGGCAUGCGUUGUAUUAGCUGGUUGGUGAGGUAACGGCUCACCAAGGCGACGAUACAUAGGGGGACUGAGAGGUUAACCCCCACAUUGGUACUGAGACACGGACCAAACUCCUACGGAAGGCAGCAG
rnacentral:rRNA from 1 species